AUACAAAUGGUCACAUGACUCGCAUUCCAAUACCUUAACACAAUAUUUGCCGUCAGCAACCACUACUUUUACUGGAAGCUUAUCUUCAUACAGUGAAAAUGUGUUUUGCAACUACAACUUCUAUUUUUCAUUGUAAUUGUGGAAGAUGAGUUUUGGAAUCCCAUCAGAUUGGUGGAGGUGCAGCAAAAGCAAGAUGAGGAUCUAGUUUGGGUGAGGCAAGAAAAACAUGGAAUAGUUAUGUGACAGCAUCUUGGCGCACAUAAGCAGUCUUAUAUGAAUAACUGAAGUUAUUAUUAUCCAUUAUGAUAUAAGGAAAAUCUAUCACUUAAAAUGUUUGUUACGGUAGUUUAUGAAUGUCAUAGUCAUCAUUGGUUGCUCCAG